rnacentral:rRNA from 1 species
AGAACGAACGCUGGCGGCAGGCUUAACACAUGCAAGUCGAACGCUCGUAGCAAUACGGGAGUGGCAGACGGGUGAGUAACGCGUGGGAACAUACCCUCCGGUUCGGAAUAGCUCAGGGAAACUUGGAUUAAUACCGGAUACGGCUGAGAGGCGAAAGAUUUAUCGCCGGAGGAUUGGCCCGCGUCCGAUUAGCUUGUUGGUGAGGUAACGGCUCACCAAGGCGAUGAUCGAUAGCUGGUCUGAGAGGAUGAUCAGCCACAUUGGGACUGAGACACGGCCCAAACUCCUACGGGAGGCAGCAGUGGGGAAUAUUGGACAAUGGGCGCAAGCCUGAUCCAGCCAUGCCGCGUGAGUGAUGACGGCCUUAGGGUUGUAAAGCUCUUUCGCUCGGGACGAUAAUGACGGUACCGAGAUAAGAAGCCCCGGCUAACUUCGUGCCAGCAGCCGC